GAUGAAGAACGCAGCGAAAUGCGAUAAGUAAUGCGAAUUGCAGAAUCCGUGAGUCAUCGAAUCUUUGAACGCACAUUGCGCCCUCUGGUAUUCCGGGGGGCAUGCCUGUUCGAGCGUCAUUAUAACCACUCAAGCUCUCGCUUGGUAUUGGGGUUCGCGGUUUCGCGGCCCCUAAAAUCAGUGGCGGUGCCUGUCGGCUCUACGCGUAGUAAUACUCCUCGCGAUUGAGUCCGGUAGGUCUACUUGCCAGCAACCCCUAAUUUUUUUAAGGUUGACCUCGGAUCAGGUAGGGAUACCCGCUGAACUUAAGCAUAUCAAUAAGCGGAGGA
rnacentral:misc_RNA from 1 species